rnacentral:misc_RNA from 1 species
GAUGAAGAACGUAGCGAAAUGCGAUACUUGGUGUGAAUUGCAGAAUCCCGUGAACCAUCGAGUCUUUGAACGCAAGUUGCGCCCGAAGCCAUUAGGCCGAGGGCACGCCUGCCUGGGCGUCACACGUCGUUGCCCCCCCAUCUACUCCUUCGGGAUUGCGGGGGGCGGAUGAUGGCCUCCCGUGCGCCUCGUCGCGCGGUUGGCAUAAAUGCCAAGUCCUCGGCGACGCACGCCACGACAAUCGGUGGUUGCGAAACCUCGGUUGCCCGUCGUGUGCGGUCGUCGCGCAUCGAGGGCUCGAAAAAAUUGCCGGGCUCCGGCUCGGCUUUCAACGCGACCCCAGGUCAGGCGGGGUUACCCGCUGAAUUUAAGCAUAUCAAUAAGCGGAGAA